rnacentral:misc_RNA from 1 species
UAGCACGAAGGGGAGCCUGGGCUCCCCUUCAAGUUCAGUUGCAUGCUCUUUUUUGUUUUCAGGUGGCCUGUUGUUGUUUUUGGCAGCCAUACCUUUCUGGUUUUCCGAGCGACCCCCAUCCGGGAUCCAAGAGCAAACGUAUUUUUUUGAGCGCUGAUACAGCUUCGAUCUGUCGAUCCAACCGGUCGGGUCGCUGCCUGAAGGCAGUU